AGCAGCCGCGGUAAUUCCAGCUCCAAUAGCGUAUAUUAAAGUUGUUGCAGUUAAAAAGCUCGUAGUUGAAUUUCGGGAUCAAUAUGUUGGUCGUGCCUCGGUACGUACUUGCAUCAUUGAUUUCUCCCUUCUGAUGAACCAUGAUGCCAUUAAUUUGGUGUCUUGGGGAAUCAGGACUGUUACUUUGAAAAAAUUAGAGUGUUUAAAGCAGGCUCACGCUUGAAUACAUUAGCAUGGAAUAAUGAAAUAGGACGUUUGAUUCUAUUUUGUUGGUUUCUAGGAUCGACGUAAUGAUUAAUAGGGAUAGUCGGGGGCAUUAGUAUUCAAUUGUCAGAGGUGAAAUUCUUGGAUUUAUUGAAGACUAACUACUGCGAAAGCAUUUGCCAAGGAUGUUUUCAUUAAUCAAGAACGAAAGUUAGGGGAUCGAAGACGAUCAGAUACCGUCGUAGU
rnacentral:rRNA from 1 species